GAUGAACGCUGGCGGCGUGCCUAAUACAUGCAAGUCGAGCGAACAGACGAGGAGCUCGCUCCUCUGACGUUAGCGGCGGACGGGUGAGUAACACGUGGAUAACCUACCUAUAAGACUGGGAUAACUUCGGGAAACCGGAGCUAAUACCGGAUAAUAUAUUGAACCGCAUGGUUCAAUAGUGAAGGACGGUUUUGCUGUCACUUAUAGAUGGAUCCGCGCCGCAUUAGCUAGUUGGUAAGGUAACGGCUUACCAAGGAGACGAUGCGUAGCCGACCUGAGAGGGUGAUCGGCCACACUGGAACUGAGACACGGUCCAGACUCCUACGGGAGGCAGCAGUAGGGAAUCUUCCGCAAUGGGCGAAAGCCUGACGGAGCAACGCCGCGUGAGUGAUGAAGGUCUUCGGAUCGUAAAACUCUGUUAUUAGGGAAGAACAAAUGUGUAAGUAACUAUGCACGUCUUGACGGUACCUAAUCAGAAAGCCACGGCUAACUACGUG
rnacentral:rRNA from 1 species